rnacentral:RNase_P_RNA from 2 species
UGAGCCGAUCGGGCGAACGCGUCAGGGUGAACCGCCUGCCCGUGCGGGAAGGCAUCCUGCCGAGGAAAGUCCGGACUCCACAGGGCGCGGUGGUUGCUAACGGCAACCCGGGGCGACCCGCGGGAAAGUGCAACAGAAAGUAGACUGCCCGCGCCAUAGGCGUGGGUGAGGGUGAAAGGGUGCGGUAAGAGCGCACCGGCGGGGCAGGUGACUGCUCCGGCUAGGUAAACCCCACCGGGAGCAAGGCAACGAGGCGCAUCACGUGGUGCGCCGGGAGCGGACGACCGAGGGCUGCCCGCCCGAGUCCGCAGGUAGCUGCUUGAGGCGAUCAGUGAUGAUCGACCCAGAUGGAUGUUCGCCGCCGCCCACCUGGGGCGGGGACAGAAUCCGGCUCAUAGAUCGACUCAUUCG